UACGUAGGGUGCAAGCGUUUGUCCGGAAUUAUUGGGCGUAAAGAGCUCGUAGGCGGUCUGUCGCGUCUGCUGUGAAAACUCAGGGCUUAACCCUGAGCUUGCAGUGGGUACGGGCAGACUAGAGUGCGGUAGGGGAGACUGGAAUUCCUGGUGUAGCGGUGAAAUGCGCAGAUAUCAGGAGGAACACCGGUGGCGAAGGCGGGUCUCUGGGCCGUAACUGACGCUGGAGGCAACGAAAGCGUGGGGAGCAAAC
rnacentral:rRNA from 1 species